CUCUUCAGCGGCCGGGCCGCCCUUCGCUUCCGCCAGGCGUUGCUGAGCGCGCUGCCCGCCAGCCGCGGGCCCGUGAGUCACUGUUGUAGGUCAAGAUGAACACUAAACCAACAGUCUGUCAGGCUGGGCUUUGACAUGGUUUAUUCCUCCUGAAACUCCUCUGUUGUUGUUUCUUCUGCCAUGUCUUCCAGCUAAGGGGAGACCUGUGAAAGAGUCAGGUCAUUUGACCCCAAAGGGGUUACAACCCACAAGUUGAGAACCACUGCUGUAGACCUACCAUUUCUGCUAACAACUUGCAUCCACUCCUGAGGAGCCAGCAUUCUUGUCAAAUGUUCUAGCCUGCCCAAGACUGGAUGGGAUACACCAUUCUAAACCUGUUGGUACUCAGGAAUCUUGGAAAACUGGUAGCCCUGCCCAGAGCCCUCUUACCUCUAUGGGGAUAUACAGCAUGAAGCCUGGCUCUCCCGUGUGCGUCAUACUCAUCACCCGGAUCCCAUUUGCAUAGCCCACACUCAUCUCCUACAAAGAAAAAGAAAGCAGUCAGCACUAGUCCCUCAUGACAGUCGAGAGGCUGAGUCCCCGAGGGGACCCUGUCAGUACCCACCCUGUGUUAAACCCUAGAAGAGCCAUAACCAAGGAAAGCUUCUCUCUUUACCAGCUCAUGCUAAAACAUUGGAGUUAGCCAAGUGGUGUUAGGAACAAUGAAGACCAAUCAAGUGUCUUCUCUGGGGGACCCUGUAAGCCAACUUCAGGCACCUGACACAUAAAGGACAAUGCCUGCAGAAUAGAAUUCAUGUACUCUGGGACCAAAAACUCAGUUUCUAGUGUUACAGCUGCUCAGUUGCCUUAAAAGGGUCACUGAUACAAUACUGCUCUAUGAAAGGAAGUGUAAGACCGAGCGAGACAGCACGGAAACAACAAUUCCACAUGAAUUCUGACAGGGCAUUUGACAGUCAUAGGUUGGAUCUUUUUUUUAAUUUUUUUUUAAAGUACACUGUUCACUAACAUGGAAGUUUUCUGUUGUUUUCUCUGCUUGGGAGAACAGGAAAUCAUUGAACGAUUUGCUCU
ensembl:processed_transcript